rnacentral:rRNA from 1 species
CGACCGGCGCACGGGUGCGUAACGCGUAUGUAACCUACCUAUAACAGGGGCAUAACACUGAGAAAUUGGUACUAAUUCCCCAUAAUAUUCGGAGAGGCAUCUCUCCGGGUUGAAAACUCCGGUGGUUAUAGAUGGACAUGCGUUGUAUUAGCUAGUUGGUGAGGUAACGGCUCACCAAGGCAACGAUACAUAGGGGGACUGAGAGGUUGAACGGCCACAUUGGGACUGAGACACGGCCCAGACUCCUACGGGAGGCAGCAUG